rnacentral:rRNA from 1 species
GUCUACGGUCUUACUACCCUGAACACGCCCGAUCUCGUCUGAUCUCGGAAGCUAAGCAGGGUCAGGCCUGGUUAGUACUUGGAUGGGAGACCCCACUCCCAGCCUGUCGCCCCUGCUC